rnacentral:rRNA from 1 species
GCCUACCUCCAUACCACCCUGUACACGCCCGGUCUCGUCUGACCUCAGAAGCUAAGCAAGGUCGGGCUCGGUCAGUAUGUAGAUGGGAGACCGCCUGGCAAUGCCAGAUCCUGUAGGCU